rnacentral:rRNA from 1 species
UACGUAGGGGGCAAGCGUUGUUCGGAAUUACUGGGCGUAAAGGGCGCGUAGGCGGCGCGGGAAGUCAUCGGUGAAAGUUCAGGGCUCAACUCUGAAUCGGCCGGUGGAUACUCUCGUGCUUGAGCACUGUAGAGGCAGGUGGAAUUCCGGGUGUAGCGGUGGAAUGCGUAGAGAUCCGGAAGAACACCGGUGGCGAAGGCGGCCUGCUGGGCAGUAGCUGACGCUGAUGCGCGACAGCGUGGGGAGCAAACAGGGU